GUUUAUUCCGGGUUUUUAUUUUAUUGGCACCGGGGUCUCCCGCAGGGGCCGCCACGCUCCUGACGUCACGGCCCCGCCCAUUACGUUAAGGCAGCAGCGGGAAGCAAAUGAGGGGCGGGGUCCCUAGUGAUGGGCAGAAGCCGCAGGCCCCGCCCCCGACGUCAGUGCGGAUAUGCUAAUGAGGCACUGGAAGCAGCGCGGGGGCGGGGCUGAGCAUCAGAUAUGCAAAUGAGCUGGCGGGGAUUCCCCACAGGCAAAUGAGCUGGGCGCUCCUUAUGCAAAUGAGCGGCAGGGUUAAGGCUUUGGCGAUUUGCAUAUGCAAAUGAGGGCCUGGGGCCCUGGCCCCGGGAUUGGGGGCGGAGCCCGGAGAUGUCAGAGCGCUGACGUCACGCGCAUGAGGGCGUGGCCUCGGGUUCUUCCUCUCCGCCGAGCAUCACGGGAGUCGUCACUGGGCGGAACCGGCUACACGGGGGCGGGGCCUGAGGGGAGAGAACCGGAAGUUAGGGCGACGGUGACGUCAGGGGACUCAGGGGCAGGGCCCGGGAAGUGGAUGGUGGGGCAGGAAGUUCCGGCUGCUUCGUGACGUGAUUGACAGGCUCCGCUCAGGUGAUGCCCCUGGCUGACAUCACUGAAGACCCAGCCCGGGUGGUGAAUGACGUCACAAGGCAGUGAAGGGGGUUCCCGAUUGUANNNNNNNNNNNNNNCUGCCCCGCCGCUGUCAGUCAGGGCACGGAAGCCCCGCCCCUCCCGGGGCCCCGCCCUCACCGCUCUCCCGGAAGCACAGCCGCCGCUUCUGAUAGGCCACGAAGCUCGACACCGCGCCGGCCAGGGCGGCGACCACGGCGCCCACGAUGCCGGGAACCAGGCCCUGGGGGGACCCUGUGGGGGGAGAGAGCGGCGGGGGGGGGGGGCGGGGCAGUGCUCAGUGCUCCCCAGACAGUGCUCAGUGCUCCCCAGACAGUGCUCAGUGCUCCCCAGACAGUGCUCAGUGCUCCCCAGACAGUGCUCAGUGCUCAGUAUUCAGUGCUCAGUGCUCCUCACUCAGUGCUCACUGCUCCUCACUCAGUGCUCACUGCUCCUCACUCAGUGCUCAGUGCUCCUCACUCAGUGCUGAGUGCUCCCCACAGAGUGCUCAGUGCUCCUCACUCAGUGCUCAGUGCUCAGUAUUCAGUGCUCCUCACUCAGUGCUCCUCACUCAGUGUUCAGUGCUCCUCACUCAGUGCUCAGUCCUCAGUGCUCCUCACUCAGUGCUCAGUGCUCCUCACUCAGUGCUCCUCACUCAGUGCUCAGUGCUCCUCAUUCAGUGCUCAGUUCUCAAUGCUCGCCAGACAGUGCUUAGUGCUCCCCACAGUGCUCAGUGCUCCUCGCUCAAUGCUCCCUAGACAGUGCUCAGUGCUCCCCAGACAGUGCUCAGUGCUCCUCACUCGGUGCUCCUCACUCCGUGCUCCCCCCCUCCUCCCUCACCUCCGGCUUCCGGCUCUGGUUCAGGACCCCCUCGGCUGCCGCCCCCCCCUGC
rnacentral:lncRNA from 1 species